rnacentral:lncRNA from 1 species
AUUCUUGUUUUUUUCUGCUGAGGCUCUAGAGGGACACCUGUCAGACUGACCAAGGCCGAAGAUGGCUCCCUACCAGAGAGAUUCAACUGAGGGCUUGCGAUAGGUCUUGUGACAUUGCUAUUGAUCUUGAGACAUUCAUCUGAAGCAUGAUUGUCACUGGCUUCAAACUUUCCUCAUCAUAAGAGAGGGACUGGGUCUACUUCAAAUGUUUCGCACUAAUGAAGUUAACAUUCCCUUUCAUGGUGAGCUCUGCCCUCAUCAUGAGACCAUGCCCAGGCUAGUCUGCUGGAAGGAAGUCAGAGGCACACGGAAGAGAGCCACAUUCAGCCAAGGCCAUUCUAGACCAGUUGUUCCCUGUCACUUCACUAAUUGGCCACAGCACAAGGUUUUGUUGAAGAUUGAAUGAGUGUGUAAAGUGCCCAACAGAAAGUCUGGCACAUGGUACACGGAUGGAGCUGGAAGCCAUUAUCCUCAGCAAACUAAUGUAGGAACAGAAAACCAAAUAUUGCAUGUUCUUACUUAUAAGUGGGAGCUGAACAACGAGAACACAUGGACACAGGGAGGGAAACAACACACACUGGGGCCUGUCCAGCAGUAAGGUUGAGGCAGGGAAAGCAUUAGGAAAAAUAGCUAUGCAUGCUGGGCUGAAUACUGGGUGAUGGAUUGAUAGGUGCAGCAAACCACCAUGGCAUAUGUUUACCUUUGUAAGAAACCAGCACAUCCUGCACAUGUACCCUGGAACUUAAAAUAAAAAUUAAAAUG